rnacentral:hammerhead_ribozyme from 1 species
GUCCAGUUGAUGAGUCCAGAAUAGGGUGAAAUGCGCGUCUUGGAU